rnacentral:rRNA from 1 species
AUUGAACGCUGGCGGCAGGCUUAACACAUGCAAGUCGAGCGGGGUGAUGGUGCUUGCACUAUCACUUAGCGGCGGACGGGUGAGUAAUGCUUAGGAAUCUGCCUAUUAGUGGGGGACAACAUCUCGAAAGGGAUGCUAAUACCGCAUACGUCCUACGGGAGAAAGCAGGGGAUCACUUGUGACCUUGCGCUAAUAGAUGAGCCUAAGUCGGAUUGGCUAGUUGGUGGGGUAAAGGCCUACCAAGGCGACGAUCUGUAGCGGGGCUGGGAGGAUGGUCCGCCACACUGGGACUGAGACACGACCCAGACUCCUACGAGAGGCAGCAGUGGGGAAUAUUGGACAAUGGGGGGAACCCUGAUCCAGCCAUGACGCGUGUGUGAAGAAGGCCUUAUGGUUGUAAAGCACUUUAAGCGAGGAGGAGGCUCUUUUGGUUAAAACCCAAGAUGAGUGGACGUUACUCGCAGAAUAAGCACCGGCUAACUCUGUGCCAGCCGCCGCGGUAA